ACUCCUACGGGAGGCAGCAGUAGGGAAUCUUGCGCAAUGGGCGAAAGCCUGACGCAGCCAUGCCGCGUGAAUGAUGAAGGUCUUAGGAUUGUAAAAUUCUUUCACCGGGGAAGAUAAUGACGGUACCCGGAGAAGAAGCCCCGGCUAACUUCGUGCCAGCAGCCGCGGUAAU
rnacentral:rRNA from 2 species